UACGUAGGGGGGCAAGCGUUGUCCGGAAUCAUUGGGCGUAAAGAGCGUGUAGGCGGCUCGGUAAGUCCGCUCUGAAAGCCCGGGGCUCAACCCCCGGGGAGGCGGGCGGAUACUGUCGGGCUAGAGUCCGGAAGAGGCGAGUGGAAUUCCUGGUGUAGCGGUGAAAUGCGCAGAUAUCAGGAGGAACACCAAUGGCGAAGGCAGCUCGCUGGGACGGUACUGACGCUGAGACGCGAAAGCGUGGGGAGCAAACAGG
rnacentral:rRNA from 1 species